rnacentral:rRNA from 1 species
GACGAACGCUGGCGGCGUGCUUAACACAUGCAAGUCGAACGGAAAGGCCCUGCUUUUGUGGGGUGCUCGAGUGGCGAACGGGUGAGUAACACGUGAGUAACCUGCCCUUGACUUUGGGAUAACUUCAGGAAACUGGGGCUAAUACCGGAUAGGAGCUCCUGCUGCAUGGUGGGGGUUGGAAAGUUUCGGCGGUUGGGGAUGGACUCGCGGCUUAUCAGCUUGUUGGUGGGGUAGUGGCUUACCAAGGCUUUGACGGGUAGCCGGCCUGAGAGGGUGACCGGCCACAUUGGGACUGAGAUACGGCCCAGACUCCUACGGGAGGCAGCAGUGGGGAAUAUUGCACAAUGGGCGGAAGCCUGAUGCAGCAACGCCGCGUGCGGGAUGACGGCCUUCGGGUUGUAAACCGCUUCCGCCUGGGACGAAGCGUGAGUGACGGUAAUGGGUGAAGAAGCACCGGCUAACUACGUG